rnacentral:lncRNA from 1 species
CUCAUUUGAAUUCCAUGCUGUCACAGUUACCAGCCCUUUCAAGCUUAACAUCCUUAUCAUUUAUCGCCCUCCAGGUUCCCUUGGAGAGUUCAUCAAUGAGCUUGACGCCUUGAUAAGUUCCUUUCCUGAGGAUGGCUCACCUCUCACAGUUCUGGACCAUUUCCGGAGACCUUCUCCCCUACCUCACCUCGCUCAUCAACGCAUCCUUGACCGCUGGCUACGUCCCUUCCGUCUUCAAGAGAGCGAGAGUUGCACCCCUUCUGAAAAAACCUACACUCGAUCCCUCCGAUGUCAACAACUACAGGUGGCGAAUCGCAUCUCUGCAUGUCUGGCAGACAUAUCAGUGUGGAUGACGGAUCACCACCUCAAGCUGAACCUCGGCAAGACGGAGCUGCUCUUCCUCCCGGGGAAGGACUGCCCGUUCCAUGAUCUCGCCAUCACGGUUGACAACUCCCUUGUGUCCUCCUCCCAGAGUGCUAAGAGCCUUGGCGUGACCCUGGACAACACCCUGUCGUUCUCCACCAACAUCAAGGCGGUGACCCGAUCCUGUAGGUUCAUGC